rnacentral:rRNA from 1 species
GAUGAACGCUGGCGGUAUGCUUAACACAUGCAAGUCGAACGGACUCUUCGGAGUUAGUGGCGGACGGGCGAGUAACGCGUGAGAAUCUGGCUUUGGGUUCGGGACAACCACUGGAAACGGUGGCUAAUACCGGAUGUGCCGAGAGGUAAAAGAGAAAUUGCCUGAAGAUGAGCUCGCGUCUGAUUAGCUAGUUGGUGAGGUAAAGGCUCACCAAGGCAGCGAUCAGUAGCUGGUCUGAGAGGAUGACCAGCCACACUGGGACUGAGACACGGCCCAGACUCCUACGGGAGGCAGCAGUGGGGAAUUUUCCGCAAUGGGCGAAAGCCUGACGGAGCAAUACCGCGUGAGGGAAGAAGGCUCUUGGGUUGUAAACCUCUUUUCUUAGGGAAGAACAAAAUGACGGUACCUAAGGAAUCAGCAUCGGCUAACUCCGUG